rnacentral:rRNA from 1 species
AAUGAAGGCUAUAAGUCUGCUUUAAUACAUGCGAGUCGAACGAACCUUCGGGUUAGUGGCGGACGGGUGAGUAACGCGUGAGAAUCUGCCCUCAGGAGGGGGAUAACGGCUGGAAACGGCCGCUAAUACCCCAUAUGCCGCGAGGUGAAAUGAAUUUCGCCUGAGGAUGAGCUCGCGUCUGAUUAGCUAGUUGGUGGGGUAAAGGCCUACCAAGGCAUCGAUCAGUAGCUGGUCUGAGAGGAUGAUCAGCCACACUGGGACUGAGACACGGCCCAGACUCCUACGGGAGGCAGCAGUGGGGAAUUUUCCGCAAUGGGCGAAAGCCUGACGGAGCAACGCCGCGUGAGGGAUGAAGGCCUCUGGGCUGUAAACCUCUUUUAUCAAGGAAGAAGAUCUGACGGUACUUGAUGAAUAAGCCACGGCUAAUUCCGUGCCAGCAGCCGCGGUAAUAC